rnacentral:rRNA from 1 species
UACGUAGGGUGCGAGCGUUAAUCGGAAUUACUGGGCGUAAAGCGUGCGCAGGCGGUUUUGUAAGCCAGAUGUGAAAUCCCCGGGCUUAACCUGGGAACUGCGCUUGUAACUGGCGAACUGGAGUGUGGCAGAGGGGGGUGGAAUUCCGCGUGUAGCAGUGAAAUGCGUAGAGAUGCGGAGGAACACCGAUGGCGAAGGCAGCCCCCUGGGCUAACACUGACGCUCAGGCACGAAAGCGUGGGGAGCAAACAGG